rnacentral:rRNA from 1 species
UACGUAGGGUGCGAGCGUUAAUCGGAAUUACUGGGCGUAAAGCGUGCGCAGGCGGUUUUGUAAGCCAGAUGUGAAAUCCCCGGGCUUAACCUGGGAAUGGCAUUUGGGACUGCAAGGCUUGAGUGCGGCAGAGGAGACUGGAAUUCCUGGUGUAGCAGUGAAAUGCGUAGAUAUCAGGAGGAACAUCGAUGGCGAAGGCAGGUCUCUGGGCUGACACUGACGCUCAUGCACGAAAGCGUGGGGAGCAAACAGG